UGGGGAAUUUUGGACAAUGGGCGAAAGCCUGAUCCAGCAAUGCCGCGUGUGUGAAGAAGGCCUUCGGGUUGUAAAGCACUUUUGUCCGGAAAGAAAUCCUUGGCUCUAAUACAGUCGGGGGAUGACGGUACCGGAAGAAUAAGCACCGGCUAACUACGUGCCAGCAGCCGCGGUAAUACGUAGGGUGCAAGCGUUAAUCGGAAUUACUGGGCGUAAAGCGUGCGCAGGCGGUUUGCUAAGACCGAUGUGAAAUCCCCGGGCUCAACCUGGGAACUGCAUUGGUGACUGGCAGGCUAGAGUAUGGCAGAGGGGGGUUAGAAUUCCACGUGUAGCAGUGAAAUGCGUAGAGAUGUGGAGGAAUACCGAUGGCGAAGGCAGCCCCCCUGGGCCAAUACUGACGCUCAUGCACGAAAGCGUGGGGAGCAAACAGGAUUAGAUACCCUGGUAGUCCACGCCCUAAACGAUGUCAACUAGUUGUUGGGGAUUCAUUUCCUUAGUAACGUAGCUAACGCGUGAAGUUGACCGCCUGGGGUGUACGGUCGCAAGAUUAAAACUCAAAUGAAUUGACGGGGUCAUAGCUGUUUCCU
rnacentral:rRNA from 1 species